GCAAACACUAGUAUUUGAGGGGUUGUGUGAAAAUAAUUUUUCUCUUGCUGAACCACAAAGACAUAGACUGAAACAGCUUCUUUGGGACAUACUGGCUUUACUUUCUAUCUUCUCUUUCUUGUGGAUAUUAUGGCUAAUAACACAAGUUUAGGAAGUCCAUGGCCAGAAAACUUUUGGGGUAAGGUAUUUUCUUUAAACAUUUUAAAUUUAAAUUCAGACUCAGAGAAAUGUAGUGCAUAAUUUAUGACAAUGAUGGAAAUUGCUGAGACAUUUUGUUUACUGUAAACUAUCCAAGUUUUCAUAGAUUUACUGCAGAAAUGUUAUUUGUAUAAAACAUCUGUGGAGAGAGUUACAGAGACAUCAAAGAACCUGGAGAAGUAUAGAUUUUGGUUGGGGUUAUAAAAUAUAAUUAGAAAAUAAGGAGAAUUUAAAAAUGAGGCUAAAAAAAGAAAAGAAAUAUAAGGUGUAAGUAAUUGCUGUUUGGAAUACGACAGAAUGGAUUUUAUUGGGAAAAAAUGUGUAUUACUUGUGUAAAGGUUGUGUUAUGUAUUUUAUUGAAUGAAACCAAGAUGUUCUACAGGGGUUUUUGUAACUUAAGUUGUUAAUGUUGUAUCUUUUAAUUUCCAAAGUGAAUAUAAAUAACAAAUCUAUACUUGAAUGAAUUUAGAGCAUGACAAAUAUAAAGAAUUUUUUGCAAAUAAAAUAAUAUUUUAUGUACAAUUACAAUAAUUUUAGAUAUAAUAAAUAUUAUAUAUUACAUGAUAAAAUAAAUAUAAUUAUAUAAUAUGAUUCCUAUGUGAAAUAUAUUAUUCCAUAUGUUAAUAUAUGGGGAUAAGUUCAUAUACCAUUCCAAUACUAUCCCAGAGAUAAGAGGACCAAUACCAAGGUGGUUUUUCGUUUAGAUCAGCCCACACUAAGGUUUUUUUAGUGUUUUUUAGUGUUUUUUUAGUUUUUUUAGUGUUCCCCAAAGCUGACCUUUGAGCAGGAACUGGCCAAAGUCAGUUACCUGUCGCUACAGGUUCAGGGAAGAAGGGCUAGGAUGUGAAAUUGACCUGUCUCUUGGGUUCAGAGAAAUUUAAAAAUAAAGAAGACAAGUUCAGUUACAUCCAGGAAAAAAAAAAAAGCUUUAAAGGAAAAAGAAAUGGAGUUUAUGAAGAGAUCUAUAGCCAGGUUCAAAUGUUCAGAACAAGUUUUUAGUCCUCUCAAAAACUAUUUCAGACUACUACUGUGAUUUUAAGGUAAGGUUUUGAGAGCCAUCAGGUGAAAGUGAAUGACACUUUCUGACUGUCCCCAGCAAUCAGGUCUAGUUGACCAUCAUCACAGCAAUUUGCAUCAAGGGAAUUAACUCUUUUCUGUCAAUAACCAUUUCUGUUUGCUUCAAGCCUAAAGAGAAAUUUAAUGAUGAACAUCUUGAUAAAAUUAAAUGAUAAAUUGGGGGAGAAGAAAAUGAAUUAUGCAUGCAUACUAUACAGAACAGCUUUAGUAAUAGCUUAUUCUAGUUAUAUACCAAGAGACAAUAAGCCUUUGAAUUGUGGGAUCUAAUUAUAUAUUUGUGACAAUAUUAAUUGCUGUCCUUAUUUACAGAGAAAGCAAUCAUGCAAACCACAUGCUGAAAAUAGCUAGAAUGUGUCUAAACUAAACCCCCAUUACAAAAAUGAGUAAUUGUACAAAUUAUUCAAAAGUAAAUUAACUCAUAUUGCAAAACUUAAUAUAUGAAAUCCAGAUUUAUUUUUUCAAGCCAUUCAUAAUUUGAGAUUCAUAUAAGGAAAAUAAUCCAUCAUCUACUGAAUAAAACAUGAAUAAUAAUCAUUAAAGCUGAAAUUAAUAAGAGAAUGCUUAGUUGGAGUCCAUCCCUUCAUCCUAAAAUGUAAUAUUUUUUAAUAAAUAGAUCUGUGCUUAAGAGGAAAUACAAAGUUAUUAUAUGAAAGAUAGAUCCUAAUAUUUCUUUUUCUUGGCAUGUGAAUAUAAUGGAAAAUAGGUGGGAAAAAGAAAACUGAGCAGAGUGUUGCAUUUGUAAGUAUGAAAAUUCAAUGGAAAUUGGAAAACAUAAAAUAUUUGAUCACUUGGGGGAAAAUAGGUAAAAGAUUACAGUAUUAUUUCUGUGGUUAAAAGUAUUAAGUAUACAAUGAAAAUAUGAGUGUAAGUAUAUAACAUUCAAGCAUUUUCUGAGCUACAAAUGUCAAUCUUUUUAUUUUCAUUUCUUGAUUUUUAUUUCUAAAUUGAUAUUGAUUUUGGUAAUUGACUCCUUGAAAAUACUAUUUUAAAAUCUUGUACAAUGCAUUAUAACACAUUGUUCAUGGCUUCCAAAGAUACUUGUCUGCUUGGCACUCUGAAUUCAUAAAACACAGAAAAAAAAAUAACUUAGAAAAGCAUAACUUGUACACAGAACCACAAAAUUUCCCCAGCCUUAACACGUUUAAGGCACAUAAGAAGUUGUUUUCCAAAUAUGACUUUCCCCGUUUACUUUAAUGAAUGGAAAAAAAAGCCAACAGGAUAAUGAUGCCAUAGUACUACCAAUAAUGAUGGUUUGCAUUUUUGUGGAUAUCACCCACUAAAACUUACUGAGCAUUGUUCAAAUAGCAAAGUCAUGAGUACAGGAGUUGGCAACAAAAUUGGCCUGAGAGUGACAACCCCCCUCACACCUUCCGCCUUUUCUUUCUUUACUGCACUUCCCUUCUCUAUAAACCUUCCUCCUAAAAACAACAGGAAAUAUGGCUCAUGAAAAUUUGCUAUGUCUGCUCUCAUGAAAUAGAAUACAAUGUCAUCGAACUCAGUUAUUCUCUUAGUACUUAAGAGUCCCACACAAGACAUAGCUUUGGCUGGACCUGCUACCUUUUCAUGCUUUUUCUUGGGGAGCAAGGGAUUGUUUCUUUUAUAGCUAGCAUUGUGCACAAAUUGAGGAAAGGUAUAGUUGAUGUAGGAGCUGGCAUUUAUUCACCUAUUUAAAUCUUCACAAAGAAAUGCAAUGUAUCUUUCAGAGGUUUAAAUUCUUGGAGGUGAUCAUGUAUGCAAUUUUGUAUGCAUGUUCAUUACCAUUUUGUCAUAUAUUAUCUUUUUAAUGGAGAAAAUGGCAACAAAUAUUUACAGGAGUUUUAAAAUAUAUGGUAAAAUGGUUUCUAACUCCUUCUUAAAAGGAAAUGGAACAUUACCUGUUCAUAGAAACGUAAGACUCAAAUAGGGAGGUAAUUCUAAUGCAUUCUGAUAUUCAUUUUUCACUAAAUCUCAUUCAGCUCACACUCAGAAACAUUGGCUGGGCAUAUUAGAUAAUGUGUUAGGAGUCAUACAUAUGACAUGGUUUGGAAGUUCAGAGAGCUCAGGAGAAAUGUUAGCAGUAAAUCUGCGGGAGUAGAAUUCUCAGGCACGUUUGUGAAGAAGUGGAUGCCUAAUUAGGAUGAUCAUCUUUGGCAAUUACUGGGACAUAGUUGAAAGGCAGGUUGAAGGUAGUAUUUUUUUAAAUUUAUUCUAAUUUGUUAUAUAUGACAGCAGAAUGUGAUUCAACUCCUAUUACACAAUAGAACACAAUUUUUCAUGUCUCUGGUUGUACAUAAAGUAGAGUCACACCAUUUGUGUCUUCAUACAUGUACUUACGGUAAUGAUUUUAGUAAGAUUUUUAAUAUCAGUGCAAAAGUUUGAUCUGAUUUAACCCCAAUCACUUGCAACUUAUUGGCUUCAAGCCUCCUCACAUUCCACCUCCCUAGGAUUUUUAUCUAAGGUUGGAAAAGGGGUGUGAGGGUUAUAGAGUUCAUAUUCUAUAUUUUCUAACACACUAGAGGAAAAGAGCCUUUGAUUCUUGAUCAAUUUCUGGCCUCUGCUGACAUCUACUGACAGGUAUUUCUCAAAUGCUUUGGGGCAUUACUCUUUCUCUUUCUGCCUUCACUGCUGAAGCCCUCACUGCAAAAUCUGGCUCACAUGAUCUGUGCAACAUUUGCUGACAGUGUGGUUCUUCAUUUCUGCAAAUCCCCCUGGUCUCCUGGCCCUCUUUCAGGUGCUCUUCUAUCUGUCUCAGUGGCACUGAACAAUUUUUAACAUCAGGAGCCUGGCUUCCAGUUCUGCCCUCCAGAGAACCCAGGCUUCCCAGAGGGGCUACUAGCUUCUCUAAGUAUUAUCUUCUCCAAGAAGCUGGGAAUGGAUCCUGAGUUCCCUGGGAUUCCAUACACCAGUCUGUAGCUCAUCACAAGCAGGAAUGGAGCAAUGAGCCCCUUCUCUGAAACUCUCAGUGGUCCUUUGCUACAUAAUCUUUUUCUUUCUCUCUCUGAAAUCCUUCUUCACACUGCUCAUGAAAAAUGACCGAUAGGCCAUGUUUUAUUCUUCCUAACUUUGUUUAUAGUAAAAAGGUAUGUUCUCGAGUCCUUUAGGUUUUUAGCAUUUUGAAGUUGAAACAAAAACUUUUCUCUCAAAAUACCUAGUUAGUGCAGUAACAAUGUUAGUUUUCAAAACUAUGAUUUUUUUUCUCUAUAUUUAACAAUUUAUUUAGUAAUUUUAAAGUGAAGCAUUGACUUUAAUUUUGCUUGCUAGCUGUCUUAACCUUCUGUGAGGUAACUGAAUAACAUGAAUGGCUGGGAACCAAUUUGGAGGGAGUGAAGUGUUAUUGAAGGGAGGAAUCCUUGUCUAAGAGCUGAAAAUAUUAUUUCUCAGCCUGUAGAAAAAUAGCAUAAAGGGAUCUUCCCAGUAGGUGGGAGCAGUGUGUUCACAGAGAAGCUGAAGGGAGCAGGCUCCUGGAUGAGCACAUGCCUCAAGGAAGUCCUCUGUCUCCUUCCAGAUAGUAAAAAAAAAAAUGGUGCACAUUUCAAACUCACCUCAAUUAGAGUUGUGAAUGGUCUUCAACAAUUAUGCAUCAUUAGCAUGACACAUUAACAAUGAUGAAUAUUAACAGCCUGUUAAUUAUUUCUUCAUCACAAUUACUUAGAAAAUUUGAAAAAUGAGGGUUUAUAAAUGCUGGUCCUUAAAAUGGCUAUGUCUAAAUUACCUAGAAAGAAUUAUUAUAACUUGUCUCUCAAUAUGAGCUGAGAUUGUGAUUCAGUAGGUGUGAGGGAGCCUACAUGCUCUACUACUGGUCAAUGCAUCUGUGGUUUCAGGAUUGUGCGUUGAAAUUAAUGAGAAUUGUCUUUUCUCAUUAUCUCCUUGCUAAAUUUUGUUAUCAAUGUUACACAAGCCUCAAGAAACAAGUUGGGAAGCAGUCCUGAGUUUUCUAUUGUCUGGACAAGUUUUAGUAAGAUUUGCAUUGCUCAUUGUUUAAAUGUUUGAAGAAAAUCAUCAAUACAAUCACAGCAUCUUGGACUGCAUUAAUAAUAGUGACCACUCUGAGUGUCCACUGAGUCUUCUGUUUAUGGCAGCUGUUUAUGCCCUUUUAAGUCAAACUUCCAAAUACAUUCUGUAAAACUUGUUUGUGACAUUCUCUCAUGUUUUCCCAACACUAUAUUAUAUGUACAGAAGAAACAUUUAAAGAACUGUGCAGUGAGCACAGAACCUGGCUUAUUUCAUUUGCCAUAAUGUCUUCCAGAUUCAUCUAUGUUGUUGCAAAUAACAGGAAUUCCUCCUUUAUUUUUAAGAUUAAAUAAUAAUAUUCAGUUAUUAUAUAAUGUUCUUUUACAUACAUACAUAUACAUAUGUUUGUUUAACAACAGGGAUACAUUAUGAGAAAUACAUUGUUGGGUAAAUUUUUUCAUUGUGCAAACAUCCAGAAAGCACUUAUCAACCCCAGAUGACUACAAUAUAAUUUUAUGGGACCAUUGUCAUAUAUGGGAUUUAUCAAUCCAACAUCAUGUAGAAAAAAAUGUGUUUAUAUAUAUCAAAUUUUCUUUAUCUGUUUAUCCAAUGAUGGACAUGUAGGUUGAAUCUGUAUUUUGGCUGUUGUGAUAAUGCUCCAGUGAACAUGUGAGUACAGAUAUCUCUUAGAGAUACUAAUUUCAUUUCCUUGAGGUAUGUACCCAGAGGGAUUGCCUGAAUCAUGUGGUGAUUCUACAUUUAGUUUUGAAGAAACUCCAUGCUGUUUUAGUAAUGGUUACACAAAUUCACAUUUCUUUUUUUUUAUUUGUUCUUUUUAGAUAUACAUGACAGUAAAGUAUAUUUUUUGACAUAAAAUAAUACAUGGAGUAUAACUUACUCUAAUUAUGAUCCCAUUCUUGUGGGUGUACAUGAUGUAGAGUUUCACUGGUCGUGUGUGUAUUCAUAUAUGAACAUAGGAGAGUCAUGACUAAUUCAUUCUACUGUCUUUCCUAUUCCCAUCCAUUGAGUUUUACAAUCUAUUAAAUAAUAUAUCUCUCCAUUUAUUUAGGCCUUGUUUAAUUUCAGCAAUAUUUUGAAGGUUUUGGUGCAGAGAUCUUACCUAUCCUUUAUAAAAAAAUAUUCUUAGGUGUUUUAUGUUUAACAAUGCUAUUGCAAUGUCAUAAUUUUAUAUAUAUAUAUAAACACUUAUUUUUAUGUAGGUGGACACAAUACCUUUUUAUUUUAUUUUAUAUGUUGCUGAGGAUCGAACCCAGUUCCUCACACAUGUUGGGUGAGAGCUCUACCCCUGAGCCAUAACACCAGUCCCUAUAACUAUAUUUGGUAAUUACUUCUAACAACAGUGUGUAAAAGUUCCCUCUUCUCUGCAUUGUCAUCACAUACAUUUGUCACCAACAGAUUUUCUUAUACCUAUUGACCAUUUUCUUCCUUGGAUAAAUGUCUAUUCAGGUCCUUUGCCCAUUUUUAAAUCACUAUUUGUUUUCAUGCCAUUGAGUUGUAUGAAAUAUUUAUAUACUUUACAGUAAUCCCUUAUGGGAUCUUUAUUUUGCAAAUAUAUUUGUUCCAUUUCAUAGGUUGUAUCAUCACUCCUUUGUUGUGCAGAAGCUUCAGAGUUUGAUGUAAUCCCAUUUGUCUAUUUUUGCUUCUGUUGCCUGUGCUUGUGAUGUUAUGUUAAUAUAUAUAUAUAUAUAUAUAUAUAUAUAUAUAUAUAUAUAUAUAUAUAUAUAUUUUAUUGCAUAGACCAAUGUCAAGACUUUUUCCUGUGUUCUCUUCUAGAAGUUUCAUGGUUUUAUGCUUUAAAUUUAAAUGUUUAAUCCAUUUUGAGUUCCUUUUUGUAUGUGGUUUGAGUUAAGUCCUCCCUUUUCAUGCUGCAUGAAAAGGUAUCUGGUUUUCCUGUUACCUUUCUUGAAGAGAUUGUCCUUUCUCCAUUGUGUGCUCUUGACAUCAUUGUUAAACAUCAGUUGACCAUAAAUUCAUGGGUCUAUUCUGGGAUAUCUAUUCUGUUCACUAGUCUAUGUGUCUGUUUUUAUUCUAGGAACAUAUUGUUCUGAUUACUUUAGCUUUAUAGUAUAUUUAGAAAUCAAGUAAUGAGAUGUCUCCAAUUUUGUUUCUCUUGCUCUUUCAAAUAUCCUUACAUGAUGUGCUAUGGUUUGGAUCUUAAAUGUCCUCCAAAGGUUCAUGCUGUAAAAGCUUAGUUUCCAGUCUGUGGUUCUGUUUGGAGGUGGUGGAACCUUUAAGAGGUGAGACCUAGUAAGAGGUCUUCAGGUCGUUAGUGGAUAACCUUGAGGGAAAUUUGGGGACCAUGGUAUCUUCUUUGUCUCUGCUCUCACUUCCUGGCCAUGAAGUGAGCAGCUUUGCAAUGCCAAGAACGCCUGCCAUGCUGUGCUGCCCUCCACUCCCUCCAGAGAUCUAAAAGCAAUGGGUCUUCCUGCUCAUACACUGGAAGGUCCAAAACUGUGAACAAAACAAAACUUUCCUCUUGUUGACUUGGCUCAGGUACUUACUAUAGUGAUUAAAAGUUGAGCCAAGUUGACUUGGCUCAGUACUUACCUUAGUGAUAAAAAGCUAACACACAAUUGAAAUAAUUUGCAAAAUGCCACAAAAAUCCUGUUAAUUGAUUUCAUUGAAUCUGUAAAUAAAUUUAAGCAAGUUUGGCUUCUUAACAGUAUUGAGUUUGACAAUCCACAAAAAUAAUAUAUCUCUCCAUUUAUUGAGGUCUUGUUUAAUUUCAGCAAUAUUUUGAAGGUUUUGAUGCAGAGAUCUUACCCAUCCAUUGUAAAAAAGAAUUCCUAGGUGUUUUAUGUUUAAUGAUGUUAUUGCAACAUUAUAAUUACAUUUGCUAAUUAUGUAUUAUCAUAUAAAAUAUUUUUAUAUAUUAGACUUUAUUGCUUAAUAUAGUUUAUAAUGAUAUUUUAGAAUGCUUAAGAUGUUCUAAAUAAAAAAUAAAGCUAAUAGAUCUAUUGAUAUUCUAUACCAAGUUCUUUAUAAUAAUACAUAUGUAAAAUAUAUAUAAUUAUAAACCCCAUAUGACAAUAUUUUUAUUUUAUUUUUUCUAAAAAUAGCUAUAUAUGUAUACAUCCAUGUGUAUAUGUAUUUAUACAUAUAUUAAAGAUUAAGGGGAAUGAGUUUUUUUAAUACCCUGAUUCUGUUCCUGACAUUGCUAAUUUCUUUGAAGAGCCAUGUUUUUACCUCUUGUCAUUUUCCCCAGCCCUAGUUGUCUCUGGCACACCAAUUAGUGUGGGUGUGUUGAUGGACUUGAGUUCUUGUUCCCCUGAAGAGUGUCCACUUCACUGUUACUCCUAAGGGAUAUUAUUGUGGAAUACAGAAUUCUACACAGAGCACUUUUUAAUCACUUUAAAAUAUUGUUUCUUACUAGAGAUGAGGAGUUAUUCAAAUAACUAUCUCACUAAUGUAAUAUGUUAUUAUCUUCAAAGAUUUUUAAAAUAUUUGAUAUUAAGAUAUUUGAGUAAGAUGUGUACAUGCUUGGUUAUUCAUAUUUUUUCUGCCUGAUAUGACCAAAACUCUGGAUCUGUAGAUUGUUUCUGUCACAGUUUUUUGAAAAAUUUCAGCCUUAUUUUUUUGAAUAUUUUUCAGCUUUGUUCUCUUUUUCCCUGUUUCUGGGACCAUAAUUAUAUAUGUGUCAAAUAUUUUAUAUUAUUUUAUAAAUCAUAGAGGUGCCAUGGGGGAUUAUAUAUCUUAUCUAUAGCUCCUCAUUCUCUCUCUCUCUCUCUCUCUCUCUCUCUCUCUCUCUCUCUCUCUCUCUCUCUCUCUUCUGCCUGCCAUGAGAUGAACAGCUCUCCUCUAUUAUGCCCCCCACCAUGAUGUUUUGUCUCAUCUUGGGCCCAGAGUGAUGAAGUCCCUGAGGGCUGAACCUCUGAAACCAUGAGAUCAAAAUAAAUCUUUUCUCCUCUAAGUUGUUCUUGUGAGGUAUUUUGCUUAUGGUGGUGCAAAGCUGACUAACACACUCAGUUUAAUCUAAUUUUCUUGCUUUUCUCUAGCUGAACUGUUUGUGAUAUGCCCUGUGUAUGUGUGAUUUAGGAGUCAGCAAUAGAUAUGGGAAAUAUUUAUCAACUAACAUUUGGGGAUCUUUUUCUCUAGCUUUUUUUCCCAGAAUUUAUUUCCCAUUAAUAUUCUGUUAGCUCUGAUUGAUAUGAUCUCUGUCCUCUAUUUCUCAAGAUCGAAAUAAUGCAAGUUUUCAGUUUUGGUUCUACCUGCCUCACAUAAUUCAGCCUGAGUCUGUUCUCAGGUUAGAGGCUUUGGGAAAUCAAAAACUUGCCCAGAGCUUAUUGAUUUUCUUCUCCCACAUAUCCAUUCCUCUGUAACAGAGGCAAACAUUUGGUCAUUCUUCAGUGCUAUUAGGUAUAGCUCUUUUUUCUUACAUUCAGUGUUCAUAGUCAUUUUACAUGGAAGAGUCGGUUCACAAGUUACUUGGAAUCCUAUCUUUCUUGAAUGUUUCUGUUGCUUGUGUCAUCUGUUCCAAUGUCACUAAAGUUUCAUUCUAAUAUUGGUCUGUCUCUUUCUCUUUCUCUCUCCUUCCAUCUGGUCAUUCCUACAGUAGAUUAUUAAUUUUUUUUUCAUGGAAAUCACACUUUGUUUUGAAAUUUUUCUCUUCGUAUCUUUUAAUUUUGCUUUUUUCCUAGAUUCUGCUUUGUCAUAAUUGUCUACUGUUCUCUAUUUAUAUUUAUGUUCAAUUUAUUGGUCUUUUGUUAACUCCUUUAUAUGGAUGUUUAAGACAUUGAUAUUUUAUGUUCUGAAUGAUAUAAUCCCUAAAUUUAUAAAUUUUCUCUGAAUGUGAUUUUAGAUGCAUCUCAAAUACUUUGGUAUUUCACAUUUAAAGUACAAUACAAAAAAUUUUUUUGAAUAGAGUACAAUGCAGUUAAUAAUUUUCAUUAGACAUUUUUAUAUGAUAAUUUUCAUAGAUUCACAGUCUUUGCCCCAAAUUUUCAACUUAUUGCAUAUUUUUAACAUACUGAUUCAUGGUUAUUUUAACCUUUGUGUGUGGGAAUUCUAAUUUGUUUUUGAAGUACUAGGGAUUGAACCCAGGGUCUCAUACAAGCUAGGAAUGCCCUCUACCACUGCAAGACAUCCUUAGCCCCUCCAAUAUUUUGAUAACUGGAUAUUUUCCCAUUAUCAUAUAUAUCUCUUGGUUUUUGUUCACUUAUCCAAGCUUCUUGGAAAGCCUUUUAGUAUAUCAUUUCCACCCCCCGCCCCGCCCCGGCCGGCAGCUAGUUAGGGGAAGUCAUCUUAGUUUAAUCUGGUACAAAUGUGCCUUUCUUUGUUUGGUCUUCCUUCUUAUCCUCCUCCUUCUUCUUUUCGUGGGUUUUGGACAGGAUUAAGAGACAUUAAAUAUAUUUAAAAUCUUUAUUUUAUAAAAUUUUAUUUAAACAAAUAUUAUAUUUGAUACAAGUCAUACACAGAAAGUGUUAUGUGCCACCCUGUUACUUCUGAAUUUACUCACCACUGUGGCAAUACUGUUUACUAAUUAUAUUCAGAAUGUUGCUGGCUAUUGGUCAAAACUACUUUCAAAUCCUCCAAUGCCUUAUUUAUUUGUCUACCACUUCUACACAAAAGGGCAUCCCAAAUUUUAUUUCUUUCAUGAAAUUUUUGCUAACCACUCCAAAUACAAGUUCCCCCCUAUCUUUUAAACAUAAUGAUACAUGGACCACAAUACCUAUGCACCAAGCUCAUAUGUGAGACAACGCAAGAACUUUCAGAAGUAAUAUAAUUAGGUUGUGAAGUGUGACUUAAUCAGUGUAUUUAUCCAUUGAUAUGAAUUAACUGGGUGGUAACUGUAGGAGUCAGCUACGGAGCAUGGACUUAACUACUGAAACCAUGAGCCAAACUUUUCCUCCUCUAUGUUCUUGUCAGGUCUUUUGGUUACAACAAUGAAAAAUCUGACUAAACCCCAUUUAAUUAAUUUUUUAAAAAGAGUUCACAUUAAUAAAUCUAAUUUCCAUUAAUGGCAAAAUAAAAAAGAAUAUCAAGAAUGCUAAUUUUGCAUAAGAGAUAGGAUCAGAUGUACUUUCAGAUAGAGUGGACACUUACUGUUUGUAUAGACACAAAUUACAAAACUUUAUUUGUCUGGUAUGUCUUAUUAAUGUUAGAGUUUGUUCCUUUUGCCUUUAGAGGAUAAUGUAUAAUAAGAAGAUUAUGUAUAAAUAAGAAACCUGAAAUUCACCACAUGAAGAGCUAUGGAAGGGUUUUAAGGAGCACAUCAUAACUAGUGCAAGGCUGUAAAUCAGGAGCACAUAUGCUGUGUUUAAGAACCAGCAAGGGGGGAGAGUGGGAUGAAGCUGAGUGACCCAGAGGUAGAGUGGACGAGAUGAGCUCUGACCACCAGGGGUCUAUCAAAUAGGGACUAGGAGGCCAGAUUUAGGAGUUUGCUUUUGCUGUGGGAGAAGUGGAGGUGAUAGAACAAAAGAGUGAUAUGAUUUGACUCACGUUUUGAAGAGUUCACUCUCUUUACUGUUUGAGAAAGGACUACAGCUGGAGUGUGGGAGAGGCACCAAGGACAGAUACAGAACACCAGCAUUACAAUAGUCCAGGUGCACAUGGUGGUCACUUGCUCCAGAGAAGGAGCAAUGUAGACGGAGGAUAGUGAGCUCUGGGCUUUUCAUAAAAAUAGAUCAAAUAAGAUUUUCCAGUAGAAGAGGUAAACAAAAAAUUUGUAUUCUUUGACAAUUUAACUUAUAGUUAAUCAAACUUAUGUGCCCUAAAUAGUAUUCUUCUUAAAAAUAUCCUUUCACCAAAGUCUCCCUGUUGUUUGAACCAUCCCCCUAUAUACUUUUAGGCUACUAUAAGCUUCAUGGCACUUUCGUCAAAGGUGAGAUUAUGAGUCUAAUAACUGCAAAGGGUUUUGAAUGUUUUAGUCAAUGUUCUAUUGUCUCUGAUAAGCCACUUUCAGAUGUUGGAAUGAUUCAACUCUAGGCCACUAGGUGGUGGCCUCCACUAACUUUGAAUACCAAUGGAUGGACUCUGAAGUAUUCACUAUAGACACUGAAAACCCAUGAUCAAUUUUAGAGUCUUAGAAUUGAAAGGCACUAUAGUAGCUGUUAUUAGACCAAGAAGGGAAAAUGACUUUAGUUAUGCAACUAUUACUAGGCAUGGCUAGAAUUCACUGAGAUUUUUUACAUGCCAGAGAGUUACCGUUUGUAUAGACACAAAGCUUUAUUUAUCUGGUAUGUCUUAUUAAUGUUAGAAUUUGUUCCUUUUGCCUUCAGAGGAGCAAAGUUACACAGGUAAUAAGACCAAAGUUAAGUGUUUGGUCUCGUUAGUAACAUUAGCUUGAAAUUAUAAGAAAUAACAUUAUGACUCCUUUUUCUUUCCCUGAAGUUAUUGAGAAUUAAGGCACAUAGUUUUCAAAGAAGCAGCAUCUUUGCCAAUAACUUUAUUUGGGGAGUUACAGUUUAUUUUAUAUUAGGAUUUUAGAAAAGCUCCUAAGGUCAACAGCCUGUCAGAUGGAUUUAUGUAUAUGAAAGAGUUGAAGUUGUAUGACCAGUGGAUACAUCUUCCACAAUAUGUUUUCUGAAUUCCACAGUAUAGGUGGGUCAGAAAAAAAUCAUUAACUACAGUUAGAUGAAAAGAAUUCCAUGGAACAGGCUAUACUUCAAUUAUGAUUUUUGACCUUUCUUUCUCUGCAUUUUUAAACUUAUUUUUGCAGUUUGGACUUAAUGGAGUUUAACAAGAUAAAUAAGCUUCUUGCUUAUCUUAGGUAGUCUUCAAAUUCUUAUGUCAACAUUCUCAUUUAUAACUGUUUAAAAAAUUCUGCAUGCAGAGCAAGGGUAUGAGACUCGCUUUACAGGUUAGGAAGUAAAGUUCAUGGUGUUCUUGGAGUUUGCUUUUGCUCUGGGAGAAGUCCAUUCGACAAUUAUUAAGCAAACCCAUAUACCAAAGGCAAAUGUUUUCCUAUCUCAUUAUUAUGGCUUCUGUAGCUUCAUCUUAUUUUAUAUUCAUUCAAAUUUUAAUUGCUUAUUAUAGAUAUGCAUAUAUCAUUCCCAUGGCUCUUAUGUAUAUUUUAAGUUUAUAUAAUCCUUCCAGAUAUCAAUGUAACCCUGUAUUCAAUGGUAUUUUUAGUCAUUUCCCCACCUUUUGAGCAAUUUUCAAAUUGCUCUCCUAGAAAUAUAACUCUAGUUUUAGUGUCAACAAAAAUUAUCCUUUUUACUCAUAAAACUGAAAUACAUCUUAAGAAGCCUGGAGUGAUCCAAUAUGGUCUUUAGUGAUUUGUCCUUUGGAGUUUGGAUAUAACCAUAGUUUUACUACAUCAGAAAAAUAAUAUAUUUUGGAAAAAUUUAUUUUACAUAUAAAUUUAUUUCUCAAUGUAUUUUUGUUGUCUUUGCUAAUUUUCUCAAUUACUUUAAUAGUUAAAAAAUUAUUUUCUCUUAAUUUACACUUCAAAAGUUUCUAAUUUUUUUUUACCUGAAACUGACACUUGCUAUAAUUCCAUUAUUAAUAGUAUUUAUAUCAUGAAUAUUCUAUUUGUUAGGAGACUAUAGUUGAGAGUCACAAGGGUAUACAAGGAGACUGUAUACAUGAGUUACUGUAACCUUUAAAUGCUGCUGUUGGGUAUCUGAGUCUGUUUUCUCAGUCAGACCCUAUGUAGACCUUAAGAAGAUCUAAUAUACAACACCAAGGGCAUAUACUUUGUGAAUUUGAGUCUUUGUCUUCUCAGUUUACACAACACAUGAGUGUAAAUAAUUGUCCUCUGACCAGUGAAUGAUGUUAAUUAAUUAUUAAAAUAAAUAAGAUGUUAAUUCUACCACAUAAGCUCUAGCUUUUGUUUCAAUGCUUAUACGAUGAGGAGAAUGGGCCAAGAAGUUUUGAAGAGUCUCUUACCUAAAAUCCCGUUUCUGUGAGUCCAUAUUUGAAGGUGAUGAUAUUUAAAAUCCUCCACUGGAGGCUACUGAUUCAGAAAAACAGAUCUGUAGAGCAUGCAGUGUGUCUUGAUCGUCAUUUUCCCAAGAAUUCAUGUUCAUAGAAGGCUCCCAGAGACUCUGGCACCAAAUUGUUACAAUCUUCAGGCAUUUUAUGUUCUUCAUUUUCGUUUUAGAUUAAUGUUUUUAAUCUUAUACUUUAAAAAUAAGCAAUUUAGCUAUUAGUACCUUGGACUCACAGCCUCACUUGACCCCUUCAUCAAUUAUUUGACUAUGGAUUUGUUAAUUAUAUCUCUCAAUAGUCUCACCUAGUAAUUAAAUGGGAAUAACAGUAGUGUUUCCCUUAUGGGGGGCUUGAGCAUUAGGUGAUACAAUACACUUAAAACAGCCUGCUAAGCUGUGAGUAGUUAUUUCACAGAGUAGAUAUGAAGAUUAAGUUUGAAAUUAGAGAUUGUGCUACUUAACAAGGUAAUUAAUUAAAAGUAAGCAUUACAUUUUAUAAAUCAUAUUCCUUCAAACAUCAAUUUUUUAAAAUCAAUGUUGCAGUGAAGCCUUUGUAGGUGUGGAAUACUGAGACUGAAGCUUUUGUAGGUGUGGGAUACUGAGACUUCACACUUAGAGGGAGCUCAUGGUUUGCCUGCUAGGCUCUCUACCUAAUUUGUUACUUUCCCAUUCAAAUGCAAAACAUGCAAAUGGACCACAGGACUCCCCAUUCAUUCAUUCCUUAUGGAAAGACCACAGAAUUUCUGAGGAAUUUUGUUCAUAUUCUUUAAUUAAAAUAUGUCUUGUGAUAAUUAACUGACAGAUUCUUUGGGGUAUAAACUUUUCUGUGAAUAAAUAGACUCUUCUAGGGACAAUUAAUCACUUAAUGGCAUCAAGUAACAAAUUAGUCAACUUCCUCUCACAAAAAUAAAGAUUACCAGAAACUCUUAAAAAAAAAAAAAAAAGGUAAAGCUAGUUACUUUUUAACUAAAGCACCAUAUGCAGUAAAACACCUGUACUCAUGUAGUUAUUCAUAAGGAAAAUAAAGGACUUGGUCAUAUGAAAUACUUGAGCAGUUCUUGGUUUUUAUUUAGUUCUUUUCUAGAUCAUUCCAUUAAGUUCGAUGAGGACAUUUUUCAGUGAAAUACAGAAUUUGUCAUGACCACAAGUGGCAAAAAAAAAAGGAAAUCUAGUAUUAGUUAUUACAAACAAAAUUUUGAGUAAACUCUUUCCUCAUAAACUAUUAUUAUAUAAAAUGAUACAUACAUCCAAAACAUCAUGGAGUGAGAAAUGCUUAAAGCAUUUCCAAAAUAUUCUGAUGUAAUCUGUUUAUUAAAUUACUACUUAAAAAUGAUAAUUUAGAUAUUUUAAGAGCAAAAGCCCCUAAGUCUCAGUUCACCACCACUCCCAAAUGUCUUAUUUCUAGUAUACGAGAUAGUAUGAUGCUUCAGAAUAAUUUUUUGUUUUGAGUUUUUUCAUGAAAUAUUUAUUUCUAUGCCAUAUUUAUUUUAAUCUCUUAUUCUCCACUUUAUACUUUCAUAUUUUUUUCUUAAUAUAGUUCACAAAUAAUCUUUUGCAUCAUCUCUUAAAUUAAUUUUUUUUUGUAUGUGUGUGUGUGUGUGUGUGUGUGUGUGGUUCUGGGACUGAACCCAGGGCCUUGCGCAUGCAAGCUAUAUUCUGAGCCCUUAAAUUGAUUUUUAACUGAUACAUAAAAGCAUGAAAAUUGUACAUAUUAAUGGAGACAUAUAAAUGGAGCAUUGUGUGAUGAUUCUAUACACGUGUACAUGAUAUAAUGCUCUAAUCAGAUUAAACAUAUGUGUUCCUUCAAAAAUUUAUUUUUUCAAUAUGGUAAAAACUUUUAAAAUCCUUUCUUCCAAUUUUUUGAGUUGUAUGGUGCAUAAUCAGAGCUCCUUACUCUUAUCUAACUGUAACUUAGAUUCAUUUAUCAACCUCUCCCCAGCCCACGUUCCCCUCUGGCAUAAUUUUUACUUUCUCUUGACUUUGGAUCUCUUAAAGGAAAUGCUCAUUCAUAUCCUGCAUUGUCUUUUUUAAUUCAUGUAACUGUUUAUUUGUAUUCUUUUGGAUUUCAUUGAGCUUUAUAAAAUCAUUCUUUUGAAUAUAUUUUAUCUCCUUUGAUAUCUUUAGAAUCUGUUACUAUGCAAUUAUUAACUUUAGGGGUGUCAUAUUACCUUCUUCUGAAAUUGUGUCUUAGUGUAUUGAUUUUUGUGUAGUGUUUGCCCUUGACUCCAGUUGGAUUUCAUAGUGUAGUCUCCCUGUGGCUUUCUCAGCUUGAUUAGGGGAUUUUGACACAAUGUGUACCAUGUAGGGGACUGAGGGACCUGUUUCCUCUGUAAGUCAAGCAAGAGUCAGGUCCCUCUAGCCUCCAGUGGUUCAGGCAGAUGUGGUGUAGACAGAAGAAGUAGAGGGGUGCACCCUAUGUGGUCGCUCUUACAACGGGAGUGGAAGCCCCUAUUAGUUAAUGGGGGCUGUUUUAGUCAGUGUUGUGUCGUAAUGCAAAGGAAAAGUUUAUUUUGGCUCACAGUUUCAGAGGUUCAUUCCAUAGUUGGCCAACUCUGUAGCCCUGGACUGGAGCUUCAGGUGAGGCAGACUAUCAUGGAAGAAGAUAUGGCAGAAGAAAGCAGCUCAGGACAUAGCAGCUAGGAAGCAGAGAGAAUUCCACUUACCAGAAACAAAUAUAAACCCCAGUCAUGCUCCCAGUGACCUACUUUCUCCAGCCACACUCUGACUCCCAGUUAAUUCAUUCAAGUGGAUUAAUCCACUAAUUGGGUUACAACUCUCAUAAUCACUUCACCUCUGAACAUUUUUGCAUUGUCACACACAUGAGCUUUUAGGGGACACCACAUAUUCAAACCAUAAUGGGAGGGGGGUGGUUCUUCAUGUACUGUUGAUAUUGGUUCUGUUACUUGAAAGUCAUUCCAGUACUGACUUUUCCAAUUGUUGUGAAGGGUCUGAAGCAUUUAUUCUGUUUAUACUUUUGUACAGAACUCUGUGUUUCUCUGAGAGACGCAGGAGUUGGGGUAGCCUACCCUCACCUCCACCCCAUCUCUUUGGCACUCAUUUAAAGUCUUGUCAUAAUUGUAUGAUCUGAUGGGGUGUGUGACAAAUUUGAGAUCCUUGACAGGUGUGGUGUCCACCACACUUGUGUUAUUUCUCCUGCUAUUGCAGUGUCUAGAGUGGGCUGUCAGAUUCCCCCAGCUGGGCUGCAUUGGCUAAGGAUUUUGUUCCUCCUUUUCUUUAAGUUAACAUAUUCUCCAAGGUUUGAGUGGGACUAGGUCAUGGGUGGAGCAGGGCUGGGAGUGUAUUCUUGGUAGGGAACUUGCCUAAUGUGGCCAAAGUCUCGGGCUUGAUCAUCAGUGCUAUGAAGAAAAAGAAAACCCAAAAACUCAAUAAAAUAAAACACUACCAAUAACCACUACACUCAAAAAUAGAGGAAAAAUAAUGUAAACUAGAGUCAAAAGUUAUAAAACAAUAGAAAUAGAAUUCUUAGGAUGGAAAAAAGAAAAAUAUAAUUUAAAUUCUAAAAAGGAGGGGAAAAAAAAGCACGUGAAAAGUUUUUAAGAGUCAAUAGUUGUGGAAAAAGGGAAGAAAAAUGAAACAACUUCCUGUGGCUCUUUUCCAGUAUUCUUUUUGUGGUAACUUGAAGUUUUGAUGUUCAUCUUCUAAAUAGGCUGAAGGCAUAAACCAUAUUCAUGAUUUUAUUUGUUCAGUUUGUUGUUUUCUCCUUUUUAAAAUUUUUUGUUAAGAAAUGUUGGAAAAUGGGAUUUUCAUGGCUGUCAUUGUCUUGGCAAUGCAGAAUUCCUAAAAUUUCUUUUUAAGCAGAAUUUUAGUUUUCAAAUAUUUGUUCACUGAUAGCUAAAUUAGGAAUCAUACUGUGCUACCAACAAGGCCAGCUUUAAUGUGGACUACAUCUAUUUGCUUUUUUUUUUUUCUACUUUCUGUGCUACCCUCUUUUUUUUUUCUUUUCUUUUUUUUUCUUGGUGCCAAGGAUCUAACCAAGGGGCCUUGGGCACUCCCAACCUCCAUUUGCUUUCUUUGGAUGUAACCUACCUCCACAAAACCUGUCUGAGGACAUUGUACCCUAAGGCUAUAUCAACAUUAUUUUUAUGAGAAAGAUUUUAGAAUAACAGUUCUAGGCCUAGCAAAUCUGUCUUAAAUCAUCUUGUAAUUCAGAAAUUAUCAUGUUACUUUUGGAAAACAUAUCAUUUAGAUUUGGUAUAAAUCAUUGGUUUACGGGGUUUUGAUUAUAAUUGUUUUUGAGGAUAAUUGCCAGAAAAGAUACCACAAAGGAUCCUUUCCACAGGAUAUAGAUGUGGCAGUAUAUGGUAGAAGGUCACUAAAAUUAGGCAGAGUGAUUAUGCUUAUGCAUUUGUUAAGAUCAACUUGUUAUUUCUGUCUUACAGAUUUUCUAUACAUUAACAUAGGUUACAAGAAUAAUCUUAAAAAAAAAAAAAACUUUGGCAAUCAUAAAAUCUAACUCCAUCAUUUAAAAAAAUAGUGAAAUUAUGGAGUCCAAACAAAGUCCCCUACAAAUCUCAUAAUGGGGAAAGAUCUGCAUUUAGAAUCUUUUAUCAGUGAGCUCUUGCUCUCUAUAAUGCCCCCCAAAUCAUGGUGAUCUAAAGCAAUGAUCAUCUACUUGCUCAUAAUUCCAUGGGCUGAUGAUUUGGGAUGAGGUCAGCCUGAUGGAUUUUCUGCUGAUUUUCAACCUUAGUUGGUGAGUUCACUAGCAACUGACCUCUCUAGAAUUAUCCCUUUCACUUGUCAAAGAUAGCAGGCUCUUGACCAGAGCAAUACAGGGAACCAGGCCAUGUUUUUCUGUCACCACCACUGGCCUUAUCCACAUGCCCACAAUGAGAGAAUUCCCAAGCACAGCAAGGGUAGAAAAUGAAAGUCUACUGCAGCUUAGGCUUGAACUUGCAAGGUUUGGAUUCCAUUGCAUUCUCUUGGUCAAAUUGAGUCCUGUACCCAGCCUGGAUCCAAAGAAUAGAAAAACAAAUUAUAUUUUAUUGGAAAAACAGAAUACUACAGGGAUACAGCCACAUCAAUGUGUAUAGCAGCACAAUUCACAGUAGCUAAAUUGUGGAACCAAACCAGAUGCCCUUCAGCAGAUGAAUGGAUAGGGAAAUUUUGAUAUAUAUAUACACAAUGGAACAUUAUUCCGCAUUAAAAGAGAAUGAAAUCAUGGCAUUUGCAGGUAAAUGGAUGGAGUUGGGGAAUAUAAUGCUAAGUGAAGUCAGCCAAUCCCAAAAAUCCAAAGGCAGAAUAUUUUCUUUGAUAUGCGGAUGCUGACUCAUAAUGGCGAUGGGGCGGGGCAUGGGAGGAAUGGAAGAAUUUUAGAUAGGGCAAAGGGGAGGGAAGGGGUAGGGAGGGGACUAGGGGGUAAGAAUGAUGGUGGAAUGAGUUAGACAUCAUUAUCCUGAAUACACGUAUGAAGACACAAAGGUGUGAAAAUACUUUGUGUGCAAUAGGUGACUUGAAAAAUUAUGCUCUAUAUGUGUAAUAUAAAAUGAAUUAUGGCCUUCUGCCAUCGUGUAUAGUUAAUUAAAACAAAUAAUUUAAAAAGUUGUAUCCAGAUAUAAAGAAAAUCAUAUGGGAAAGCACAGUGGUUUAGAGGAAAAGGCAAGCUUGGGGACAGGGAGAAAGCCAGCACCGCUUGUGAACUAUGUCAAGAGAGUGGAGAGUGGAAAAUAUGGUCAUUAGUGAGGCUGGAGGGGUCUUUAGCAGGAGGGUUUUUUUCCAGUUAAAGUAGGGAUAAGAUAUUGAGUUUUAUUCAAUAAGAUUUUAUGUAGCUUGUACAAGGCCCAGAGUUCCAUCCCUCCCUUUCUCCGCCCCCUCCCACACACACAAUGCUUUUAGUUUGAAAGAAGCAGUAAGAUAUCAUUUCUAUCUGGGAAAGGGAUAGACUUCUUCUUCUUCUUCUUCUUUUUUUUUUUUUAAUUUUCUGUUUUUUUCCAGGAUAGGGGGAAAAAAAAAAAGCAAGUUCUAUGAAUUGGAGGAUACAGUUAAGUGUCUACGUGAAAGAGACUGAAUGGGACUGUAUGGACAUUCAGGGGACAGGAAUUCCAUUAUCACAAUCAGGACUUGAUAGCAGCAUGAGCUGGAGCCCAGGUGCUGCAUAGUCAUGGCAUCGUGGAGUCAGAGACCAUCAUGAGAUGGUCUUGAAGUUCAGGAAAUAAGGCAUCAAUCAGUCAGCUCUCUAGAUGGUUCUGUGCCAGUACUUCCUGUCUCAGAAUGAGCACAGGAAGUGAGGCAUCAUGAAGAAGGCUAGUGGGAGAAAUUAGUGUGAUUGACAGCAGACGGAGGAAAAGGCAAAGUGACCAGGAAAUUCUUUAUCAGUUUGGCACCUAGGUUGCAAUUGUCAAUCAAAAGGAAAUUAUCUUUGAAUAACAUUCGCAACUAACUGAUGAGCUAGAGGAUGGCCUUGGUGAAACUAUUUUUAGUCAUAAAUAUGACAAAUGGCAUAAGCAACCCAGAACGCUGCAGCUAAUGGUGUCAUUUGUAUCUUUCUGUUGGAAUGAAUGGAAGCAUGGGCUCGAAUUUGUGCCCAUCCAUGUAGCACCAUUUCUCUUAUCCAAAGUAGGCUUAAAUUAAUCGUUUCCCAUGAAUUUACAGUUUACACUCUGUCCUGUGUUUUUAAUGGAAUACUUAUUUAAAAAUCAAUUCAGCUGUUUAUUCUUUGUUUCAGAGGACCUUCUAAUGUCCUUCACGGUAUCCAUGGCGAUCGGGCUGGUAAUUGGAGGAUUUAUUUGGGCAUUGUUGGUUUGUCUGUCUCGAAGAAGAGCCAGCGCUCCCAUCUCACAGUGGAGUUCAAGCCGGCGAUCCAGGUCCUCGCACACCCAGAGCCUCAACAGAACUGGGUUUUACCGCCACAGCGGCUGUGAGCGCAGAAGCAACCUCAGCCUGGCCAGCCUCACUUUCCAGCGACAAGCGUCCCUGGAGCUAGCAAAUUCCUUUCCGAGAAAAUCGAGUUUCAGAGCUUCCACUUUCCAUCCGUUUCUGCAGUGUCCACCGCUUCCUGUACAAACUGAGAGUCAGUUGAUGACCCUGCCUUCUUCCAGCACAUCCGCCUCUGUCAACUCCUCCCAGCCUCUGAGCCGGCCGGACUUCCACUGGUCCAGCGACAGCCUCCGGGUGGGCUUCUCGAUCCCGCCACCACCUGCCUAUGAUUCCAUCAUUAAGGCAUUUCCAGAUUCCUGAGUAGGACGCUUUCUUUCUUUUUGUUUUUCCUUUAUCCCCCCCCCCCCCACCCUUUAUUGAAAGGAAAUAACAAAUAGGCAAAACAGUAUUUUGAAGGUUUGGUCCAAAUGACAGAUGAGUUUCCAGUGAAUUUUGAAUAUGCUCACACAGGCUGGGUAUUACAAUGUAAAACACAUCUUCUUUGAACACAUUUUUUUUCCACUUAUAUCUGGCAAACAUAAUAAUAAUAAAAUUAGCAUUUUCCCCAAUAGCUAUAUAUUUAUAUACUUUGCAUUCUAUGUGAGGCUUAUUCAUUAUAGUGAUUCUAAUCUGUGAAUCCGUUAUGAUGCAGUACAUGCUUUAGAUUAAAAUAAAAUUUCAGCUAUGUGUAGUUUAUAAUCUUCAUUUACUUUCCCAUAGGACUGUACAGAAAAAAAAAAAGUCACCGUUUUAAAAAAUCUUCUAGCCUAAGGAAUUUUAGUUUUACUUCCUUUAGUAAUUGAACCAUAAAGUAUUUUACAAUCUUGGAUUUUUUAUGGAUUUACACAGGCACAGAAUGGCAGAACAUUGGAGACUCUGAAGUUCCUUGAUUCCAUUCGUUUAUAAGUGAGAGAAGCAAACAAAGAAAGCCGACCUCUGUUGCUGUGGCCAGAUGCUCCAAUUUUGACAUGCGUUUUUCCAAGAUGGACUCUUAUGGUGCUUAUCUCCUCAAUCAUUAUCAUAUUAUUGAAGCAGAAAUCCUUGAAUUUUCUAGUGUGAGGAUUUAACUUCUUCACCACUGAAGUGAUGUUGUUAGAAAAGGAACAGCACACAUUCAAUUAAUUUGACCUAAAAGCAAACUGGUUUUGGCAUUGAGCUCACAUUUAUCUUAAGGGAUUAAUUUUCUUUCUUAAACUUGGUUCUAGCAACUGGAAAAGCACUUUAUUUAGGGAUCUUCUCUUGUAACUUUGCAGACAAAUAAGGAUGAGUAACUGGGGAGACAAUCUCUUAUCAAAAGAGAAGCUUCAAUCAUGGAAAAUUCUUCUUCCUGGAUUGGUUCUCAGCCAUUAGGAAUCAUCUCCUGUCUGUUUCUCUAUGAAUUUCAACCCAAGUUUCUCUGAAGAGUCUUUGUGGAAUGGUUAAACCAUGCCAUGUGGUUGCUGGUGCAGACAGCUAUUUAAGAGGACCCUGUCUGCAGGUGUCCACCUGUGUCCAAGAGGGGACAUCCUUAAACGUGGGCACCAGAGAGAAUCUGUGGCCCCAUGUCAGGGGCUGCCUUUUGAAUUUAAUAACAGAAAUCACUGGAGUAUCAUUCAAAAGCUUGUGGUUCAUUUCUGAAUAAGAAAGUAUUUAGUGUAUGUUGCUCUUUGUUUCUCUAAACAUUGGGAUUUUUAGUGAAGAAAAUAUACUCUCAUUUUAGCUUCUGCAGCACAGUGGUCACAGCUAAUAGUGUCUAAACAUAUUUUAUAUAAUAAAACAUUCCAUAUAGCAUUUUUUAUUAAUUUCAUAUAAUUUUUAUUAUUCAUUGUUCCUCAAGGGAAAUUUUUCUCCCUAAUGUCUAUAGAAAGGUGCUCUCUAAUUAAAUAUGCACACAAGCAAAGAAAGAAGGAAAGGGGAAAGAUGGAAGGAAGAAAGCAAAACAAAACCAACAAAAAAACCACAGGAUAUUCAAUUCUUGUAAAUUAUUUUUUUUAAAUAAGAAAAUUUAGAAGUUGCGAUAGCCAAGUAAGAUUUCAAGAGAGCUUCAAUCUUAAUAACAAGGCUAUUUUAACUUUCAAGUCAUUCUUAAUGUUUAACAGGAAAAGAAGCAAAGUAUAUUUUUUUCCUAGAAUUUUUGUGGGGAGUAAAAUAUCUGCUUUAUAGCUCUCAAAUGAGGGAAACAACAGCAGAAAUUCUUUGGUAUAUAUAACUAAGGCUGUUCCCCAACCUUAGUUAUAAAAUAAUCAAAAUGAGAAUCUUACAAAUAUUGUGCACUGUAUAAAAUGUGAAAUUAAAGCAAAAAUUGGAGAUUUUUUUAGUUGUACUUUUUACUUGAAAUGUUUUGUUGAUUAUGAAAUAAAAUUAAGUUUAUUUCAAUUUUGAUUCACAUUUUAUUAAUAAAAACACUUCUAUAAAGUGAGAGUAAGGAAAUUAUAUAAUUAUGAUAGGAGUCAGAAAGCCCUUUAGAUAAAGAAACAUUAUACUACGUUUUUGGACUUGUUAAAACGAUUGAAUAAAAAGUCUGCUAGGGUAUUCUUUAUAAGUGAGCAGACUGAGACACAAUACCUUUUAUAUAAAAAUGUGUAACAGAAAAAGGGUGAC
rnacentral:lncRNA from 1 species